rnacentral:lncRNA from 1 species
CUUGUACUUAAAAAAAUACUAAUUAUAGAAGUAUUAAAUUUUAAAAUUUUUUACUUAAUUUUUAAUAUAAAUAUAAAAAAUAUCAUAAUUUUUCAUUAAAUACAUAUGAAACUAAGAAACUCUAAACUUUUCAAUAACAAAUUGAGUAAUGAAUUACAAAACAACAUGAACAUAUUUUGCUUAUUUCACAAAAUAAAUGGUAAAAUAAAUUAUAAGACAAUAAACAAAAAUUUGACACGUCACACAUCAUCCUUAUCUCUUAUCUCCCUCUUUUACCAUCUCAGAACUCAAUCUCCUUCUUUGCAUCCUUUAUUUAUUUAUUUAUCUUUGUAAAAAAGUCACCACAAUCUAUAUAGAUUUAUAAUUCUUAUUCCAUCUCCUAAAUUCAACAAUUCAACACUACAAUCUCCACUAACCACUUAACCACUCUCUCUCACAUCAACUCCUCUGCACUUCCAGAUUAUUAUUUUUAUAACUUUAUUAUUAUAAUUUUUUUCUGGACUUUAUAGAGUCAUCAACUGAAUAAUUUAAACUCGAAACCUAAAUGGAAAAAAGAAAUAUGCACGUGAAUCUAUUCGAAUCUUGCCGCAGCACCACUGCCACACUACGCUGCUAUUCGAACUUCAAAUGACGCUUAACUCCAAUCAGAGAUUCAGACGCUUCAACUACACCACUCGCUUAGUGAUUCCCGCUGCACUGACAAGGCAUAUGCUAUGUUUGGCUCUUGAGAAAUUGAAGGAGAAGUGAGAAAAAUCUGAGUGAAAGACGAGUGAGUCUGAGAGAAAAGUUUUAUUUUGGGUUUUGCGAAGGGAAGAUUUGUUUUGUGGUUGUGGGUGAGAUCGUGAAGAAGAAAGUAUUUUCUCUCUAUUCUAAUGCAAUGAGGUAUAAUUACGACAAACCCCACAAAGUUCAUUUUUUGCCAAAUACAAUAUUGUAUUAAUUUAAUAUAAUAUAAGGUUAUAAUGUGGUGUAGUGCUAGGGGUGCCAAACACAGCCUCUGUUUACUUAAGGGGAGGGAGAAUAAAAGACUGCAAGUUGAGGCUGCGACGUUAAUGAAAUUUUUAGGCUGGCUACUAAAAUGUUUUUCCAAAUACCUCCCCAGAAGUUUGAUAUAUUUUUACUUUGAGGGAACGUGUGAUUGCAUAUUUUUUAAUUUCUCAAAGUGAAAGGGACCUCU